UUAAAAACUCACUACAUUGUCUGAGGCAAAAGUAGGAGAAAAGGAGUGUGCGAGUGAGUGAGAACCCGGUCAUUAUACAUGUGACCCUUAAAGGGCGUGUGUGUGUCCUAGAACCAAGACAGUGGCAGUGUGUGUCUGUCUGCCUUUGGUUAAGGGUAUCUUUAAGAUACUACCUUGUUGUGGUAACAUAAUUUUGCUAUUUCUGACAGGCAGCCAGUUUUCUGAAAGACGGUUGAUGUCAGUACCAACAUGUUGUGAUGGAGGCUUCCACCUGAGCUGAACACAGAAACUUGCACACAGUGUUGGAAGCAGUCGUUCCUGCUCAGCAUCGAUAUGCCAGUAAUGGGUUUGAUGAGCCACAGCAUGGUGAUGGGCAAUCAGCAUCAGGACCAGGGCAGCUCACAAGGAGAACCUCCUGCCCUGCCUCGUCAUCCUCAACCUCCCAUCUCCCUGCUCUUCACACAUGUGCAGGCACGGAGCCAGUUUUCAGAGGGAGGGCUGAUGACACCAGCAACUUUGGUGAACCUGAUCAACCCAGCACCAACCACUGUGCCCCUCCUCCUCUGCCAACUGCACCACAUGGCUCCACCAUCUCAAAAAGGCACAGACACUACUCCUACUACUUCCUGCGAAGGAUGAGAGAAGAGCCGACCGCCCCACAUCGGCACUCACCACCUUCUACAGGGGUGUCAUUGAGAGCAUCCUGACCAGCAGCCUCUCUGUCUGGCAUGGCAGCCGUCAAGCUGAAGACUAGAAGGCAGUACAGAGAGUGUGGUGAGAACGGCAGAAAAGCUCAUAAGAUCACCCCUACCAGCCAUUCAGGAUCUGUACACUUCACACUGUUCCAAGAGGGCAAUGAACAUCAUAAAGACACAACUCAUCCAGCAUACAGACUGUUCUCCCUACUACACAAGCACACUGGGAAACGGCUUCUUUCCACAAGCCAUCAGACUCCUCAACGCACUGAAGAAAACCACAUGAAUAUUCCAAGGACACUGGAGAAUAUUCCAUGAACACUUCUUUCACCAUGCCACUUACACUUUACUCAUUGCUCCUUAUAUACAGCAUCUUCACAUCACCUGUAUGAUCUCCUCCUGCCGUGUGUGUGUGUGUGUGUGUGUGUGUGUGUGUGUGUGUGUGUGUGUGUGUGUGUGUGUGUGUGUGUGUGUGUGUGUGUGUGUGUGUGUGUCCACUGUGUUUGUGUAUUUAUUGUCCAUCAGUAUGUUAAUCUUCUUAUUGCACACUGUUUGUGUCUCUGUGUGACUGUAUUUAUUGUAUGUAUCAGUCUGUAUUUCAUGCCAAUGCAUUAUUUUUAGUUAUUAGUUAAACUGCACAUUGGAGACUGGUCAAACACAAUUUCAAACUUUGUGUUAACCCUCCAUAGAUUUUUAUUUAAAAAAUGGAGUCUAAUCUACUGUACUACACAGGCUAUCAACAGACCACACAGUUGAGUGCUGUUUUAUGCACUCUGAAUAUGAGAAGGAGAGGUAACCGUUCACACUUCAUAGUGUAAAAGUAAACAGAAAUAAAUUUUCACAUUUCA